UCGAAAUCGGUAGACGCUACGGACUUAAAAUCCGUCGACUUUAUAAGUCGUGAGGGUUCAAGUCCCUCU
rnacentral:tRNA from 1 species